GUAUGUUCGAGAAUUCUAAUUGUACAAUCAUCCUAAACCGACUCUUACAACAAAGAAGAAAAUUUGAAUAUAUUAUUUUCCACUCACACAAAAAAUUGAAAAACUAGAACACAAUAUAAUAGUAGUAUUUAUCAAGAAAAUAAAUGAAAUUAUAUGGUAAAACAAAAGAAAUAAAAUUGAAGUAAAUAAAUGUGUAGAAGCUAUUGUUUUGUGACGUGAGUAGGACGAAGAUGGGGACGGAGCAUCCAUCCAAGAGUUGGAGCAUCCAUACCCGAUCGGAGAUCAUCGCCAAGUACAAAGUCAUGGAACGGAUCGGCUCCGGAGCUUACGCCGACGUCUACCGCGGCCGUCGUCUCUCCGACGACCUAACAGUCGCUCUCAAGGAAAUCCACGACUACCAAUCCGCUUUCCGAGAAAUCGAAGCGUUGCAGAUGCUUCAAGGCUCUUCAAACGUCAUCGUCAUGCACGAGUACUUCUGUCGCGAAGAUGAAGACGCGGUUCUCGUGCUUGAGUAUCUUACCACCGAUUUGGCAACCGUUAUUUCCAAUGCUGCCAAGGAAGGUUUUCCACUUCCUGUUGGUGAGAUGAAACGUUGGAUGAUUCAGAUUAUUUCUGGUCUUGACGCUUGUCACCGGAAUAUGAUUGUUCAUCGUGAUUUGAAACCUUCUAAUCUCUUGAUUUCGGAUAGUGGUGUUCUCAAAUUGGCUGAUUUUGGACAGGCAAGGAUACUCACCGAACCUGGAUUUGAUGCUUUUGAAGGGAAUCCACCACCAUGCGAGCAUGAUGGUUCUAAUCAUGAAAGUUCACUUCAUCACCCUGAAGCUUCUCUUCUCACCGACAACUUAAGUCAAUUUGGAUGUGGAAAUCAAGAGCAAGGAAGCAGUCAUAAUGAGUAUUUUAGUGUUUUAGAUGAGCUGAAAACAAAGAGAUCCGUGGAUGACAUUGAAAAGGAUACAAACAUUCCAGAUGGAAACACUUCUUGUCUUGCAACGUGCACAACAAGUGAUAUGGAUAAUGAUCCUAUGAGAACUUCUUUUAGUUUUGAAGCACUGGAGGAGGAAGAUAAAGAACAUGGUGGUUUCACAUCAUGUGUUGGAACUCGUUGGUUCCGGGCUCCUGAGUUGCUUUACGGAUCCAUAAACUAUGGUUUAGAAAUUGAUCUCUGGUCACUUGGCUGUAUUUUUGCAGAGCUUUUGACUCUGAAACCCUUGUUUCCCGGAACAGCUGAUAUUGACCAGCUCAGCAAAAUUAUUAAUGUUUUGGGCAACCUUGAUGAGAGAGCUUGGCCUGGCUGCUCAGAACUUCCUGAUUACAGAAUAAUCUCGUUUAGCAAGGUAGAAAACCCUCCUGGUGUUGAAGCCUGCCUGCCCAACCGCUCAGCCGAUGAAGUAUCUCUUGUUAAAAACCUGGUUUGUUAUGAUCCGGCUAGGAGGGCUACAACAAUGGAGCUACUCCAGGACAAGUACUUUAACGAAGAACCUCUUCCUGUUCCCAUUUCUGAGUUGCGAGUUCCUCUGACUAGAAAUACAGAAGAUGAGGAUUCUAUGGGUGGGUGGCAGGAUUACAAUGACAUGGGUUCUGAUUCUGAUUUCGAUGACUUUGGCCCUAUGAAUUUCACCAGAACUGACACCGGUUUCUCCAUACAGUUUCCUUGAGCUUGAUGAAUUUCAGGUACACCAUAUUCAUGGAAUCACUGUUUCCAUUUGUGUUGUUUAACUUGUAUUUUCUCACAGAACAUCAUCUGAUGUUUCCAUUUGUGCUGCUCGACUUAUAUUUUAUUCGCCAACAUCUUGUGGAGAGUCCGUUGUUUCCAUUUGUGUUUCUCGACUUAUAUUUUACUCGCGGAAAAUCAUGUGGAAAGUCUGCAGUGACGAAACUAUUUUGCAUCCAAUCUGCAAGGGAACUGAAGUCGAAGCAUAAUCUUGUGUAGCCAUGCAACCUGUUUCUGAUGUUGUAUACUCCUUGCUCUGCAGACGUAGCCUAAAGUUGGUUGUAGGUUUCUGUCUGCACUUGUGGUUAUAAUAAGUUGCUUAUGUUCUUAUUUUAUUGAUUCUGUACUUUAGAAGUUUUCUUAUAAGUAUUACUAUUAUUUUUAUUUAACAAAAGCUAUAUCUUGUGAGUUGUGAUUUGUGUAGGUACUACUAUUGAUAUUUCCCCCUCUAAUACAGAGCAAGUUAAACA